UACGUAGGGCGCAAGCGUUGUCCGGCAUUAUUGGGCGUAAAGAGCUCGUAGGUGGCGUGUCGCGUCUGCCGUGAAAGCCCAUGGCUUAACUGUGGGUCUGCGGUGGAUACGGGCAGGCUGGAGGCUGGUAGGGGCAAGCGGAAUUCCUGGUGUAGCGGUGAAAUGCGUAGAGAUCCGGAAGAACACCGGAGGCGAAGGCGGCUUGCUGGGCGUGAUCUGACGCUGAGGCGCGAAAGCGUGGGGAGCGAACAGG
rnacentral:rRNA from 1 species